rnacentral:misc_RNA from 1 species
AAGUCGUAACAAGGUUUCCGUAGGUGAACCUGCAAAAAAAAAAAAGGAUCAUUUCUAUCCAACGUAAACCCCCCCGUGAACGUACAUUCCUUCUCCGCUUACAGAAAAUUGGUUGCAAUCCCUGAUAAAUCAUCGCCAAACAGUUUUGAUUCAGGGACUAACACGUAAGUGUUUAACCCAGAGGAAAGUAGACGUUGAGUGCGCUUUCGAUUUGCAAAAAUGAACGUAAUCAGGGGGUUGUGAAAGUGACAGGGUGUCGCGAAAACGUGGUAAGGCAUGAUUUUACUUGUUCCGAAAGGUCAACUGUUAACAAUGGAUAUCUUGGUUCUC